GGCCUCCUGGUGCUUACCACGGGCAGUGUUUUUACACUGACUCUAUAGAAAAAGGAGGCAAACUAAGUCUUCCUCAGAUACACCUCAUCCCAGGCCUUGUGUCUUUGUCUGUAUUGUGAAUGGGGAAACACAG
ensembl:snoRNA